UGAGUCCUGAUGUGUUCGUGUAGACACCUUAUCGUUUUGACCGAACAUAUUAACUUUGGGAGUUCGGAGUUUCCGACUGGCAUACAUGCCUUCAAAGAAAAGGACGUAUAAAAGUUGGGGCAGAACACCCACCUGCCGAUGAGCGGGAUCAAAACAAAAGGAUUUUUGUUAACGGCAUGAUUGGGGCUCAU
rnacentral:other from 1 species